GCUGUAGCUCAGACGGUAGAGCAUUUGCUUUGCAUGCAGAAGGUUCCAGGUUCAAUCCCAGGCAUAUCCA